rnacentral:sRNA from 1 species
AAGAGAAGUUAUGAAC